CGAGAAGAACCCCAACGCCGUCGUCACGUGAGUCUGGGGUCAAUACACAGCCCUAGAGAUCAAUACUGAUCAAUACACAGCCCUGGGGAUCAAUAGGGAUCAAUACAGAUCAAUAGUGAUCAAUAGUGAUCAAUAGUGAUCAAUGGGGACCAAGGUCAGGGUCAGGGCCAUCGAGAAGAACCCCAACGCUGUUGUCACGUGAGUCUGGGGAUCAAUACUGAUCAAUAAUGAUCAAUAGGGAUCAAUACAGAUCAAUACAGAUCAAUGGGGAUCAAUAGUGAUCAAUAGUGAUCAAUGGGGACCAAGGUCAGGGUCUACGCCAUCGAGAAGAACCCCAACGCUGUUGUCACGUGAGUCUGGGGAUCAAUACUGAUCAAUAGGGAUCAAUACUGAUCAAUACAGAUCAAUAGGGAUCAAUACAGAUCAAUAGUGAUCAAUAGUGAUCAAUGGGGACCAAGGUCAGGGUCUACGCCAUCGAGAAGAACCCC